rnacentral:tRNA from 1 species
GCCUUUGUGGUGUAGUGGUCAGCACGCUCGGCCCGUGACCGACAGGUACGUGGUUCGAUUCCGGCGAAGGUG